GGCCGUCUCAGGUUGUCCAAGAGAGACUCGAUGCUAUAUAACUGUUGAAAAAGACAGAACGGUUUGGUUUGGCAUAGCUAAGUAUUGUCUCACCAACUGUCAAAAAGGGGUGACUUAUUUCUUGCCUAUUGUUUGAGAAACAGUAAUGCCAGUCAUUGGACAUGUGACAGUGACAGAUUGCUAACAUAGGAACAAAAAUUAGAUGUCCGACCAAGGACAACGCAAAGUUUGCAUCAUAAUGGAUUUACAGACAGGCUGUACAGUGACAGCGAGGACGAGUCUUUAUGUGACAGGAUGCCUAGCCACGCAUCUUCAUGGUAGCUGCCUUGCUAUAAUGAUGAGAUAUUAUGAGCCACUUGAUGGAAGGAUGAAUGCCAGCAGGAUGACUAAGUGACAGAAACUUUCAUAUGCCUAAAAAUUUAAGAUAGUUCUAAUAAUUUUAGCCUUCUGUUUCAGCAUGAUUUUAAGAUUGUAGGAUAGGGAUGUCACAGAGGUCUGGAAAAACUGUUGCUAACUAAGAUGAAUUCGCAUCUGGAACACCUGCUGUGAAGGAAGGCUGGGGACGCACCAAGAAAGAAAUGUUUUCUUUCAGGCCAUGUUGCCAGUGCCACAAGUAACAGAACUGAGGAUCAGCAUUGAAGACACACACUCAAAGGCAGGCUGGAAUACGAGAACAGGCCAGGAUGGAGGGGGUCUAGACUGCAACGUUAACAACUGUUUGGGGAGACUGGAGCCAGACCUAGGCCCUUCUGCAAACCAAAAGCCAUGUGUAGAUGGCAAGAGAGGCGAGUAAUGACGGUACUGAGCCAGAACAGCAAAAUUCGGCCAAGUCGUGUUCAUACCAUUCACAGCACCAGGGGGAACAUAGGAACGACAGAGCGAGGACAGUAGAUAUAUCUGCAACCAUUCUUGUAUCGGACUUCCACAAAGGCGAAGAGGUCUUUGGAGCACCAUUUGCAGACUUGUUACGAAAAACCUGAGGGCAAGACCAAUAGAGUUAUGUGAUUCCUCUUUACCACGAGCGGGCCCAUUUAGGCCUAUAACUGCAUAGCUGCCAACCCCUCCGUAUUUUCCGUAUUUAGUCCGGAAAUGCGCUUAAAAAAACCAGAGUCCGGAAAAUACGGAUAACCCCUUUAAAAGUCCGGUUUCGAACUUUUUGCAUUUUGAUUUUCGAUCGUUUCGUUGAUUUCUGUUUUCCAAUGUCAGUCUCGCGCAACUAUCUCGCAUAUUCAUUUAUGAGCACUGCACUUUUCUAUUGCGUCUCAAGUUUCAUUUUCUAUGCGUUGUGCAAGCCUCGACCGUGCCUUCAACAAUGGCGGAUGUCUAACUACUCUUCGCGAUUUUCUAGUAGAUUUUCGCCAAUAAAUAUGAGUUUUUAAUUGAGGGGUUGUCAUUGAGAUGUCAAAACGAGCAUUUUUGUCCCAAAGUACCCCCCCCCCCCCCAAAUACAACAGUGUAAGAGUGAUUUUACAGUUAUCUGACUCGCAACUUGAGAGUCCUGAAGGACCCCCAAAAGUCCUGAAAAAAUUGAAAUCUACAGAAAAAAGUCCUGAAGGGCUAAAUCAGGGGUUGGCAGCUAUGUAACUGUGUGCUUUGUGCUCUGUAGUAUGUGAUUUGAAAAGUUGUAAAUCUGGUUAUUGGAGUAAAGAUUGUACAAUUGAAUAUCCACACCUGGUAUUCUAGUUACUGUAGCUUAGCUAGGGUAGUGACCUUUUUGUUUUCACUUUUAAAACCCUAUGCGAUUUGCCGCACUGAACCCUCCAGGGAUUGUUGUACUGGGUGCAUUAAAUGUGACAAAAAUAUCCAACACCUAUUUACAAAUGAAGUGAGGGGUCAGCCUUUUGGUGUAACUCCAUAUAACUGUCUGGUGAUUUCGCUCUGGGCUUGUGACAUUCUGAUCGGUCUGAAAUAAUCAUUAUCGCCCAUCCCUCAAUUUGAGGCCUGUGUCCCGAUGGUGGAGUUGAAUGGCGAAAUCAAAGGGGCAUGACGGCGGUUAAACCUAUUGCGAAUGGGCAGCAUCACAACCAGUUCUGAGAUCUGGGUGUGGUGUAGGAUAUUCGGUAACCACGCACACAUCUCCUGAAUCUGCGGUGGGUUGGUACCCCACGCUACGUAGGGGGAGGUUUCUGGGUAAGACUUGGUCCAUGUGAAUAGGCAGUACCUAAAAGAUGAGAAGUUGCGAAUGGACGCCCUGUGAAUAUGUCCUUCGACCAGCUAGUGCUAACCCGGUCACUGUCUCCAGGUCACCAUGCCUCGGUCAAUGAGCGGGCGAAGAACCCAAUGGCUCCGUCAGGAGUACAUCGUCAACUUCAGCCCGUAGUCAAACCGGCACGCACAAAUAUCUUAGUUGAGAGUGGGGGACAUACUUGAAAAUGCUUCUCA